rnacentral:rRNA from 1 species
CCUACGGGUGGCAGCAGUGAGGAAUAUUGGUCAAUGGGCGAGAGCCUGAACCAGCCAAGUCGCGUGAGGGAGUACUGCCCUAUGGGUUGUAAACCUCUUUUGUCGGGGAGCAAAAGCCGGACGUGUCCGGCUGUGAGAGUACCCGAAGAAAAAGCAUCGGCUAACUCCGUGCCAGCAGCCGCGGUAAUACGGAGGAUGCGAGCGUUAUCCGGAUUUAUUGGGUUUAAAGGGUGCGCAGGCGGAUGUCUAAGUCAGCGGUAAAAUCGUGGGGCUCAACCCCAUCCAGCCGUUGAAACUGGGGAUCUAGAGUGUGCGAGAGGUAUGCGGAAUGCGUGGUGUAGCGGUGAAAUGCAUAGAUAUAACGCAGAACCCCGAUUGCGAAGGCAGCAUACCGGUGCACAACUGACGCUCAGGCACGAAAGCGUGGGUAUCGAACAGGAUUAGAUACCCUUGUAGUC